UCCUCCCUCUGGCGGCGUGCCUAACACAUGCAAGUCGAACGCACAGUUUAUACUGUUGUUUGCUACACCAUAAACUGUGAGGUGCGAACGGGGGAGUAACGCGUAGCUAACCUGUCUGGUAGCUGGAGGUAACUAUGGGAAACGCUAGAUAGUAUCGCAUGAUAUUGUGUAUUGCAUGAUAAUUGAUGGCAAGCUGGUAUUGCAUCACUACUUGCUGGCUCUGCGUUGUAUUAGUUAGUAGGGGAGGUAAUGGCGCAUCUAGGCGACGAUACAUAGCCGACCUGCGAGGGUGGUCAGCCGCACUGGGAGUGAGACCCGGCCCAGACUGCCACGGGAGGCAGCAGUAGGGAAACGUCGGGCAUGGAGGGAAAUCUGACCGCACAACGCCGCAGGAGUGAAGAAGGGUUUCGGGUCGUAAAGCUCGGUUGUAAGAGAAGAACGGGUGUGAGAGUGGAAAGUUCACACUGUGACGGUAUCUUACCAAAAAGCAACGGCUAACUACGUG
rnacentral:rRNA from 1 species